rnacentral:tRNA from 1 species
AAGGAAGUGACAGAGUGGUUACGUAAGCGGCUUGAAACCGCUGCACGGGGGUUCGAUUCCUCCCUUUCUCG